rnacentral:rRNA from 1 species
GCGUGAGUGAGGAAGGCCUUAGGGUUGUAAAGCUCUUUCACCCACGACGAUGAUGACGGUAGUGGGAGAAGAAGCCCCGGCUAACUUCGUGCCAGCAGCCGCGGUAAUACGAAGGGGGCGAGCGUUGUUCGGAAUCACUGGGCGUAAAGGGCGCGUAGGCGGCCCUCCUUGUCGCGUGUGAAAGCCCCGGGCUCAACCUGGGAACGGCGCGCGAGACGGGGGGGCUGGAGUUCGGGAGAGGAGCGUGGAAUUCCCAGUGUAGAGGUGAAAUUCGU